GUGUUUUUCGGCUGAAAGGCGCCCCCUGGGUCCUAAGCCUCCUAUGCCACGCGAGAUCACUAAGCCAAGAGAGGAUCUCCGCCCAGAGAAGAGAGAGGCUGAGAAGUUCAGGUUGUGCUUAGCAGAGGAUCAGUUUGAGACCUACACUGACUGCAUCCCCAGGGCUUUCAUCUCUUCUGUUUCCAUUUGUGUAAGGAAGCUGAGAUUCAGAAAGUUCUGCACAAGAGAGCCAGUGUUUUGAUGUUGCCACACAGAGGAAGAUGGCAACCAGCAGCCAUUUAGCCUUGAAGAGCAGCAACCAACCAUCAGAGAGACCCUGGCUUUCCCUUAGUUGUCAGGAAAAGGAGACACACCUGCCAAAGGUCACCCAGUUGGAAAGUGGUGGCACUGGGAUCUGCACCAAGCUGGCUGACCCUGGAGAUCCCCGUGAACCAGGGCACAGUGGUGACGACCCAGGAGAGCAGCAGCAAUGAAGGUUGUGGAAAGGAACUCCCACGAGAAAGCAACAUUCCCCUCUAAGUGCAUUACAGAGCGAAUGUUAACCCAUUGGAGAAGACCCGCCACCCCAUUAACUCACUAGAAUGCAGCUGCUCCUGCCGUCUCUGUUUAACAGAAGCACCUCCUGAGAUCCCAGGACCUCAAGGUAAAUGUCUGAACACCAUCACCACGUACAAAUGUUUAUCUCCUUACUGUAUACGGUCAAAGCAAGAAGCCAGUGUAUGUGAUACUGUGGAGGCCAAAGAUUCUGCUGUUCCUGCUCCAAUCCCAAAUGUCUGUGAGCAUCAGGGCCGGCUCUGCUGCUCUCAGUCAUUGUCUCUAAGUGACUGCUACACAUCUGAACAGCAUACCUUAUGCUAAUGAAAUACUGUCUUUAUCUGUUUCAUGCAUUGAGUUGAUUCAUUUGACAAAUGAGGAAGCUGAGUUUGGAGAAUGACUGGCCUGAAGCACACGACUCAGCUACUAGAGGAAGCAGCAGUCAAAACCUUGCCGCUGCCAGGCCCGCACCCUCCCUACCCUCCCGGCUUCCCUGAGGUCUGCCUCCCUUCCCCACCCCACAGCUGGGCAGACAGAGGCCUGGAGGGGAUCCAGGCCGGCUGGGAUGUGAACCAGCCCCUGAGCCUGCGCUUUUCCCAUUUCCAGACUCAGCAGGGAGAGCUUCUGGUGGGAAAGGUACGGAUACUUUUUAACAGUGUGCGCGGUGGCCAGGACUCCCCUGAAAGGGAGAGGUGACAGCAUUUGUGCAGAGAAACUCUCGAGCACUUAGGUGACUCAGGAAGCAUCCUGGGCGCUUGGUCUCAUGGCCACUGGUGGGCCCCUCCUCAGUCAGGGACCUCUUGA